CAAAAGGCUUUUUUUAAAGCCUUUUAAGAAUUCUUAAAAGAAGAAU
rfam:Pan troglodytes isolate Yerkes chimp pedigree #C0471 (Clint) chromosome 5, whole genome shotgun sequence.